UACGUAGGGUGCGGGCGUUAAUCGGAAUUACUGGGCGUAAAGCGUGCGCAGGUGGUUGUUUAAGACAGAUGUGAAAUCCCCGGGCUUAACCUGGGAACUGCGUUUGUGACUGGACAGCUAGAGUGCGGCAGAGGGGGGUGGAAUUCCACGUGUAGCAGUGAAAUGCGUAGAGAUGUGGAGGAACACCGAUGGCGAAGGCAGCCCCCUGGGCCAGCACUGACGCUCAUGCACGAAAGCGUGGGGAGCAAACAGG
rnacentral:rRNA from 1 species